rnacentral:rRNA from 1 species
UACAGAGGGUGCAAGCGUUGUUCGGAAUUAUUGGGCGUAAAGCGCGAUGUAGGCGGCAUGGCAAGUCGGGUGUGAAAGCCCUCAGCUUAACUGAGGAAGUGCGCCCGAAACUGCCGUGCUUGAGUGCCGGAGAGGGUGGCGGAAUUCCCCAAGUAGAGGUGAAAUUCGUAGAUAUGGGGAGGAACACCGGUGGCGAAGGCGGCCGACCUGGA